UACGUAGGGUGCAAGCGUUGUCCGGAAUUAUUGGGCGUAAAAGAGCUCGUAGGCGGUCUGUCACGUCGGCUGUGAAAACCCGAGGCUCAACCUCGGGCCUGCAGUCGAUACGGGCAGACUAGAGUUCGGUAGGGGAGACUGGAAUUCCUGGUGUAGCGGUGAAAUGCGCAGAUAUCAGGAGGAACACCGGUGGCGAAGGCGGUCUCUGGGCCGAAACUGACGCUGGAGGAGCGAAAGCGUGGGGAGCGAACAGG
rnacentral:rRNA from 1 species